AACUACGUGCCCUGAACUCGUGUGGGGGCAUUUCUGAGGUCACCAGCCAUCCCUGGGGGAAGUGAGUCAGCAAAAGCAAUAGGUCCAACAGUUAUUUAUCCAUUUAUCCAUUAUUUAUCCUGCAUUUUGAGCAGUGAAGACCAAACCUUCUGCAAUAUGGCCGCUUCUGUAUUGGUUCAUCCAUUUCCAGGGGAAGUGAGACACAAAAUGCCACUCUUUCUUCAGGAGAUCCCUUGUGUGGCUCAGACAGUGAAGAUGCAGAACAAUCAGGUGGAGAUCACACAUCCUCCCCAACUCCUUCAAAGUCCAGUCUGAGGAUUAUGUACUUAAAAACCAGCCUUGGGCUUCAGGCUUCACUUUUCCAUGCUGGUGACCAUCCUUGUCAUGUUGGUCCAGAAACAGCCUUGAUAAACCUUUAGCCCAACAUUUCUUAUGGCUGAGACACCAGGAGAAGCAGAGCCCAGCAGAAUGUGAUGAUUUAGGCCUUUAUCUUGAUUUCCUUGUUAUUUUGUCCUUCUGUCGGCUAUGACACAUGAACCUGGACAGCAUUUAGGAUGAGCUCUGAGACACAGUUCA